rnacentral:tRNA from 1 species
GAGGGUAUAGCUCAAGCGGUAGAGUGCAUGCUUAGCAUGCACGAGGUCCAGGGUUCGAUCCCCAGUACUCCUU